UACGUAGGGUGCGAGCGUUGUCCGGAAUUAUUGGGCGUAAAGAGCUUGUAGGCGGUUUGUCGCGUCUGCUGUGAAAAUCCGGGGCUCAACCCCGGACUUGCAGUGGGUACGGGCAGACUAGAGUGUGGUAGGGGGAGACUGGAAUUCCUGGUGUAGCGGUGGAAUGCGCAGAUAUCAGGAGGAACACCGAUGGCGAAGGCGGCUCUCUGGGGACGGUACUGACGCUGAGACGGCGAAAGCGUGGGGAGCGAACAGG
rnacentral:rRNA from 1 species